rnacentral:rRNA from 1 species
AGAGUUUGAUCCUGGCUCAGGAUGAACGCUGGCGGCGUGCUUAACACAUGCAAGUCGAACGCACCUUCGGGUGAGUGGCGGACGGGUGAGUAACGCGUGGGAAUCUGCCCUCAGGAGGGGGAUAACGGCUGGAAACGGCCGCUAAUACCCCAUAUGCCGAGAGGUGAAACGAAUUUCGCCUGAGGAUGAGCCCGCGUCUGAUUAGCUAGUUGGUGGGGUAAGAGCCCACCAAGGCGACGAUCAGUAGCUGGUCUGAGAGGAUGAUCAGCCACACUGGGACUGAGACACGGCCCAGACUCCUACGGGAGGCAGCAGUGGGGAAUUUUCCGCAAUGGGCGAAAGCCUGACGGAGCAACGCCGCGUGAGGGAUGAAGGCCUCUGGGCUGUAAACCUCUUUUCUCAAGGAAGAAGACAUGACGGUACUUGAGGAAUAAGCCACGGCUAAUUCCGUGCCAGCAGCCGCGGUAAUACGGGAGUGGCAAGCGUUAUCCGGAAUUAUUGGGCGUAAAGCGUCCGCAGGCGGCUCUGUAAGUCUGUUGUUAAAGCGUGGAGCUCAACUCCAUUUCAGCAAUGGAAACUACAGGGCUUGAGUGUGGUAGGGGCAGAGGGAAUUCCCGGUGUAGCGGUGAAGUGCGUAGAUAUCGGGAAGAACACCAGUGGCGAAGGCGCUCUGCUGGGCCAUAACUGACGCUCAUGGACGAAAGCCAGGGGAGCGAAAGGGAUUAGAUACCCCUGUAGUCCUGGCCGUAAACGAUGAACACUAGGUGUCGGGGGAAUCGACCCCCUCGGUGUCGUAGCCAACGCGUUAAGUGUUCCGCCUGGGGAGUACGCACGCAAGUGUGAAACUCAAAGGAAUUGACGGGGGCCCGCACAAGCGGUGGAGUAUGUGGUUUAAUUCGAUGCAACGCGAAGAACCUUACCAGGGUUUGACAUCCUGCGAAUCCCUUGGAAACUUGGGAGUGCCUUCGGGAGCGCAGAGACAGGUGGUGCAUGGCUGUCGUCAGCUCGUGUCGUGAGAUGUUGGGUUAAGUCCCGCAACGAGCGCAACCCACGUCUUUAGUUGCCAGCAUUCAGUUGGGCACUCUAGAGAGACCGCCGGUGAUAAACCGGAGGAAGGUGUGGAUGACGUCAAGUCAUCAUGCCCCUUACAUCCUGGGCUACACACGUACUACAAUGCUACGGACAGAGGGCAGCAAGCUCGCGAGAGUUAGCAAAUCCCAUAAACCGUGGCUCAGUUCAGAUCGUAGGCUGCAACUCGCCUACGUGAAGGAGGAAUCGCUAGUAAUCGCAGGUCAGCAUACUGCGGUGAAUACGUUCCCGGGCCUUGUACACACCGCCCGUCACACCAUGGAAGUUGGCCAUGCCCGAAGUCGUUACUCCAACCCUUGUGGAGGAGGACGCCGAAGGUGGGCUGAUGACUGGGGUGAAGUCGAAACAAGGUA